rnacentral:rRNA from 1 species
GAAAGAAAGAUUAAUACCGGAUGGCAUACGAAUAUCGCAUGAUAUUUUUAUUAAAGAAUUUCGGUUAUCGAUGGGGAUGCGUUCCAUUAGUUUGUUGGCGGGGUAACGGCCCACCAAGACAACGAUGGAUAGGGGUUCUGAGAGGAAGGUCCCCCACAUUGGAACUGAGACACGGUCCAAACUCCUACGGGAGGCAGCAGUGAGGAAUAUUGGUCAAUGGGCGAGAGCCUGAACCAGCCAAGUAGCGUGAAGGAUGAAGGCUCUAUGGGUCGUAAACUUCUUUUAUAUGGGAAUAAAGUUUUCCACGUGUGGAAUUUUGUAUGUACCAUAUGAAUAAGGAUCGGCUAACUCCGUGCCAGCAGCCGCGGUAAUACGGAGGAUCCGAGCGUUAUCCGGAUUUAUUGGGUUUAAAGGGAGCGUAGGUGGAUUGUUAAGUCAGUUGUGAAAGUUUGCGGCUCAACCGUAAAAUUGCAGUUGAAACUGGCAGUCUUGAGUACAGUAGAGGUGGGCGGAAUUCGUGGUGUAGCGGUGAAAUGCUUAGAUAUCACGAAGAACUCCGAUUGCGAAGGCAGCUCACUAGACUGUUACUGACACUGAUGCUCGAAAGUGUGGGUAUCAAACAGGAUUAGAUACCCUGGUAGUCCACACAGUAAACGAUGAAUACUCGCUGUUUGCGAUAUACAGUAAGCG